CCUUAUAACAGAGAAAAACACAAGCAAAACAAAAGGACACAGCACCUUCUAACAGCAUUUGCCACAUUCCAUGCCAGAAGUUGCUCCAUCUUAUUACCAAGAAGAGGAUGUAUUUCAUUAUCUGUCUUCUGGAACCUAUGCUGCUCAUCCCCUUAAAUCUGAGAUAUGAGAAUGGGACUUAAUCAGGGUCACUCAGCCAGAUUCCAUCCCAGGUCUGCCUUCUUCCAAGGCCAACCACCAUGCUACAACAUAGUGCUUGGCAUAUAGGAUAUGCUGCUUCCUAUCUGCACUCUCAGAGCCUCAGCCUCCAACAUUCCUAGCAGGAAAUGUCCAACACUCAGCUCCAAAGUCAGCUUGCUCAGAGAACUACUGUCUCCUGUGCCUUCUCAAAUGAACCAGCCAAUGCAUGAAAGACCCUUCCUUCCAAGGCAUUCGGAUUCCCAGGUCCCUCCCCUACCCAGCCUCUCCUCCCAGGAGACACCCCUAUCUCAAGAAAUUAGCUCUGAUGCUUCCCAUUCUGAGACACCACUCACAACAAAGCUAGCUCACCUUGUAAAUAUGCAUUGAGUAAUUUAUUAUUCUUAAUUCUGCACUAUGUACAAUCAUCAUCUCUGUGUUACCUUGUACAUGUCUAUUUGCACAGCCAAAUCAAUGUCAUCUGUAUCAUUUUGUGAGCUCUUAAAGAGAAAGGGACUAUAUCUGACACUGCAUUGUAUUUGACAGGGUACUUAAUAAAUUCUAGAGCCAACUCUCAAUUAUCCAUGCUAAUGGAGCACCAGAGUGGCAUAGAUCAUUCAA